UACGGAGGGUGCAAACGUUGCUCGGAAUUAUUGGGCGUAAAGCGCACGUAGGCGGCCUGUUAUGUCCGGUGUGAAAUCCCUCGGCUUAACUGAGGAAGUGCAUUGGAAACUGGCAGGCUCGAGUACAGAAGAGGAUCGCGGAAUUCCCGGUGUAGAGGUGAAAUUCGUAGAUAUCGGGAGGAACACCAGUGGCGAAGGCGGCGACCUGGGCUGAUACUGACGCUGAGGUGCGAAAGCGUGGGGAGCAAACAGG
rnacentral:rRNA from 1 species